GAUGAACGCUGGCGGCGUGCCUAAUACAUGCAGGUCGAGCGAACGGACGAGAAGCUUGCUUCUCUGAUGUUAGCGGCGGACGGGUGAGUAACACGUGGAUAACCUACCUAUAAGACUGGGAUAACUUCGGGAAACCGGAGCUAAUACCGGAUAAUAUUUUGAACCGCAUGGUUCAAAAGUGAAAGACGGUCUUGCUGUCACUUAUAGAUGGAUCCGCGCUGCAUUAGCUAGUUGGUAAGGUAACGGCUUACCAGGGCAACGAUGCAUAGCCGACCUGCGAGGGUGAUCGGCCACACUGGAACUGAGACACGGGCCAGAAUCCUACGGGAGGCAGCAGUAGGGAAUCUUCCGCAAUGGGCGAAAGCCUGACGGAGCAACGCCGCGUGAGUGAUGAAGGUCUUCGGAUCGUAAAACUCUGUUAUUAGGGAAGAACAAAUGUGUAAGUAACUGUGCACAUCUUGACGGUACCUAAUCAGAAAGCCACGGCUAACUACGUG
rnacentral:rRNA from 1 species